rnacentral:rRNA from 1 species
UUCGAUGGUACGCGAGGAACCUUACCUGGUUGACAUACAGGGGAGUGUGGCAGCGAUGUCACAGACUGGAAACAGUACCCUGUACAGGUGCUGCAUGGCUGUCGUCAGCUCGUGCCGUGAGGUGUUGGGUUAAGUCCCGCAACGAGCGCAACUCCUACUGCCAGUUACUAACAGGUAACGCUGAGGACUCUGGCGGAACUGCCGGUGACAAACCGGAGGAAGGUGGGGAUGACGUCAAGUCAUCAUGGCCCCUAUGUCCAGGGCUACACACGUGCUACAAUGGCGCAUACAGAGGGCAGCGAAGCCGUGAGGUGGAGCGAAUCUUGUCAAAGUGCGCCUCAAUUCGGAUUGCAGUCUGCAACUCGACUGCAUGAAGUUGGAAUCGCUAGUAAUCGCGGAUCAGCAAAGCCGCGGUGAAUACGUUCCCGGGCCUU